CCCUUAGAUGUUCUGGGCCGCGCGUGUGCUACACUGAGUGGAUCAGCGGGUCAGGUUGCGCGAAAGCGUUUCCUAAUCUUUAAAUCCGCUCGUGAUGGGGAUUGACGGUUGCAAUUUUCUGUCAUGAACGAGGAAUACCUUGUAAGCGCGGGUCAUCAUCCCGCGCUGAAUACGUCCCUGCCCUUUGUACACACCGCCCGUCGCUCCUACCGAUUGAGUGGUCCGGUGAGGCUUUGGGAUCUGAGCGGAAAGAGCGUUUCGCUGUUUCUGCUCGGAAAACUCAGUCGAACCUUAUCAUUUAGAGGAAGGAGAAGUCGUAACA
rnacentral:rRNA from 1 species